rnacentral:rRNA from 1 species
GACAGAGGAUGCAAGCGUUAUCCGGAAUGAUUGGGCGUAAAGCGUCUGUAGGUGGUUUAUUAAGUCUACUGUUAAAGAUCAGGGCUUAACCCUGAGCAGGCAAUAGAAACUAAUAAGCUAGAGUACGGUAGGGACAGAGGGAAUUCCCGGUGUAGCGGUGAAAUGCGUAGAGAUCGGGAAGAACACCAACGGCGAAAGCACUCUGCUGGGCCGAAACUGACACUGAGAGACGAAAGCUAGGGGAGCGAAUGGG